GGCCGUUCGUCAAGAGUUAGUAGCCAAUGUUGAGUUUCUGCUUGUUUUUUUCAGGUAGUAUUACUAUAUAACCACUCAGCACACCAAGACUGUGGAAAAGGUGACAAUCAUUUAUUUACCAAUUUUAGUGGAACCAUUGUAUAAAUUGUGUAGACGGUUUCAUAUUAUUACAUACUGUACGUAGUACAUACUGCUAUAGUGCUAUUGUUAAAGGCCAUGUAAAGUCUGUUCUGCGCAUGAGUUUUGCAGGCCCAUUGGAAGUCGGGUCCCGACCAUUGGAAAUAUGUUAUUAAUAUUUUGUACCUUCCGAACUUUCUUGAAUUGAAUAUCUAAUCUGUAUUCAUUUACAAGCAUAGCAAACCAGAAGAGUGUUAAAAAUUUAGUAUAAUAUUAUAUAUCUAAUAUUUUACAACUUUAGCACUGAGUUCAGAAUGUAAACAAAGGGUUUGACGGUUUGUUUACAUUACAUACUUUACAUGGCCUUUAAUGAAACCUUUUUUGGCUACUAACACCAAUGUUCCUGACAGAGUUGUACAGGCAAUACUGUAAACAGAAACAAUAUAUCAUCAAACAAUUCUAUCAAACAUUCAAACGAGUUGACAAGUUGCAAAAGAAUCCAAAUGCUGUUUAAUUGUUGCAUUCAUACCAUGAUUCAUACAUUUACAGUUCAAUUAAAAAAUCCCAAAUCUUGUACAAACACAGUCGUAGCAUACGUGUACGCUUGUAAGUCUUGUACGCUUGAAUUUGUUUUCAAUAAUAACACUCCAAUAUAGUAGAUCAAGGACAUAUGCCAUCAUUCCCAUCAAUACUCGCUCAGAGUGAACCAAGAGUAUGAAUUAUUACCAUAACGAAGCCUGUUAUUUUGCCCAAAUGUAUUCAAGUAUGCAUAAAUCAACUCCUUAAUCCCUUCACCACUUUUUCGGACGAAAAGGAACAAAAAAUUCGUCAAAAUAAGCAAAUUUUCAGGCCAAAUAAAGCAAAAUAUAUCGUAUUCACUCAUGUUGGCCGCGCUCGUGAACGCCACGGGGGGUAUGGGUCCAAUAACUUGUGGAUCGACCAAUCAGGAUCGUUUUUCAAUCCCGUGUGGCCAGAGCCACUCAACG